GCUGCACCCGCAGCAUAUGGAGGUUCCCAGGCUAGGGGUCCAAUCGGAGCUACAGCUGCCGGCCUACACCACAGCCACAGCAAAGAGGGAUCCAAGCCGUGUUUGCGACCUACGCCACAGCUCAUAGCAACACCAGAUCCUUAACCCACUGAGCGAGGCCAGGGAUUGAACCUGAAACCUCAUGGUUUCUAGUCAGAUUUAUUUCCCCUGUGCCACAAUGGAAACUCCCUAUUUCAGCUCUUUACUGUGAGACUUCUAGAUUUCAUUUCAGAGUGUUUUGAAUUCCCAAACACACAUAUUCCUGGUUGAUGUUCUAAAGUCCAAAAAACAUGGUUUUUGCACUAUGCAGAAGCUCAAGAGAGGAAAGAAUUUUUAAAGACCAUCUAGUUCACUAAUUCUCCAUUUUGGCAAUACACUGGAAUCACCUGAAGAGCUUGAAAAAAAAUAAUGCCAGAGUCCUACCCUCAAGGAUUUCAAUUUUAUUGGUCCAGGGUGUGCCCUGGGCACCUGGGUUUCCUUAAAGCUCUCCAGGUAGUUUAAUGUGGUUCACCAUAAUCACUGUCCCUCUAAUCCAAACUCUACCCAAACCCCACUGAUGUGAGCUCGCUCUGGUCUAGAGUGGUGUGCCCAGCAUUGCUCGGCUCCAGCGCAGGCUUCCAGAGUCUAAUCAGGUCUCUGGUCAUUGGCACAAUAGUUACCUGACCACAAUUAACUACAGUGGGCAGCCAUAUUCUAUUACUGUGGAAGGAGGGGAAAACCAAUUUUGGUGGACAAGUACCAGCCCUGACCACAGUGGUAUUAGCUCCCUUUCACAGGCAAACAAACAGACUCAAGUGAAUUUCUUUGUCCAAGUUCUCUGGACUAGUAAGUGGUUGGCUCAAGAUUCUUACCCCUUAAAGCCUUUCAACUUCACCAUAGGACAAAGCAUCUAAUUCACUUUAAGUUUUUUAAAUAAUUUUAGAUUUAUAGAAAAUUUGCAAAGAGAUAGCCCACAGAGCUCCUGCAUGAACUUCACCCAUCUUUCCCUAAUGUUAACAUCUUAACCAGGGUAUAUCUGUCAAAACUAAGACAUUGGCACUGGUAUAUUAUUAUUAAUUAAAGGACAGACUUUUUGGAUUUCACCAGUUUUUCCAUUAAUGUCCCUUGUUCUGUUCCAGGAUCCCAUAUCAAGCAUUAGUGCAUUUAAUAUAGCAACACAGGAAAUGUCAAAUGGAUAAAGAGCAUCCUCCCUUGGUGAGACAUGCCUAGAUGUGCAUCUCAAAGAGGUGGGACCCUACCUGAGCCUGGAGGGAGGGUAGUUGUUCUACAGCAGACAGGGUCAGGACAAGCAUGCCAGCUCUCAGGAAUAUCCCAUAUGCCUCAGUGUGUACCAAAUGCCCAAGGGAUCUGUAGUUCACACCGGAUGGAGGUGGAAGACCUCUAAUCACGGCUUACUGGAAUUAGAGAGGACCAAGAGGUUGAGCACUUCCAUGCAUGAGAGGAGAGACUUUCUCAAAGGUCGAAGCUGCACUCCUUGCCCUGGGGAGUGGGAUCCUCGUCCUGAGGACUGGGGAUGGCACAAGGCCUCAGGACCCAGGCUUAUUUCUGAAGCUAGUUCUCAAGUCAAAGAAACAAAAAUAACAAAUUAAAUAUUUAGACUUUCUGCUUUUGAGGCCUCUCUGGUCUUUGCCUCUCCGGGAUCACCUUGGCUCACAGGUGCCAAGGGGCUGGUAAAACAGGUAGCAGCAACCAGCUAGCCUCAGCCUGGGAGGAGAAAAGCUGAACCUCACUCAGAGCUACCUUGGCAUCCUCAGGGGCCUCUCAGCUUGGGCCUUUUCUACUUGCAAGCUGGAGUUUCUGUCGUGGCUCAGUGGUUAACGAAUCCAACUAGGAACCAUGAGGAUUCAGGUUCGAUCCCUGGCCUUGCUCAGUGGGUUAAGGAUCCGGCGUUGCUGUGAGCUGUGGUGUAGGUUGCAGACACGGUUCGGAUGCCGCAUUGCUGUGGCUGUGGCGUAGGCCAGUGGCUACAGCUCCGAUUAGACCCCUAGCCUGGGAAUCUCCAUAUGCCAUGGGAGUGGCAAAAAGACAAAAAAAAAAAAAAAAAAAAAAAAAAAAGACUGGCAUGUUAGCAUUCCAACUAUAUUUAACUUAGAAUAAAUUCUAGAUUUAGCUCUUCAGCUAGGAUAGAAUUUUCCCUUUUCCCUUCUUGCCUCAGGGUCAGGUCUAGGUUGAGGCAAAUGAGGGGCCCAGAAUACAAACUGCAAAGAGGCCCUUGCUCGAACUUGAGAAGGAACAUCUGUUUCAAUUCUGCACCCUCAGCCCUUUGCUUGCCUCAACACAAUGCUAACCCAGUUACCUCCUUCCCCAUGCACCACUCCACCCCCAAGGUGUCAUCAUGAUGCUUUAGCAUCUACAAAAUAAAAAGGGGUCAGCAAAACCACCAAAUUUCUAGCUCCCCUCAACCUGCAACAAAUAGUUUUAACUGUUCCAACUUCCAGCUUUGAAAUACGAACAGAAUUCAAUCCUCCUGGCAGCCCCUGGUGAAAGGUCAAGUUGAGCAGAUUGCUGCCACGGGAAGAGCCAAUGGAACCCUGGCACAGCCACUUGCUGGGGGGGCGGAGGGGUCCCGGCCAGGCACCUUCCGCCCCAGCUCAUUUCUCGGAUCUGUAACUUAGGAGUUUGGGAGUUGAGAAGGAAGAGAGAUUCUAGAACCUCUGAGAUUUCUAACUUACAGAGGAAAGAAGUGGGAGAGCCAGCAGGUGGUCCAGAGGGAUCAACUUGACAGAAAAGAGCAGAACUGUACUGAUGGCUACUUACUGCUCUGGCUUAUCAGACACGCUGCACAUCUGAGCAGGGCUAAUGGCUCAGAAGUGCCCUCAAAUACCUCAGUCCUAAUUUUCUCAUAUGAAAAUGAAAGGAAUUUUAAUCACUGAAUGGUUCUCAAGCCUGACUACACAUUAUCAAAAGGAGGCUUUAAAAACACCAGUGCCUGAGCCCCACCUCUGGAGGUGCUAUUUAAUUAGUCAGGUCAGGCCAUCAGCACUUUUUAAAACUCCUCACCUGGUUCUAAUGUGUUGCCACGCUUGAGAACCCUGUGGUAGGUGAGAUCUAAGAUUCCACCUCUAACAUUCUAUGAUCCUAUGAGAAAUAAUAGGUAACCAUUCUUGAUUUGGCUUCUCUGGACAGGACAUUCAAGUGCUCCCAUUAAAGUGACUGUGAGUUUUUAAAAGGUUAAAGGUUUUUAAUUAAGUCCAUGGCUCCCUGGCAGAAGGAAGUGAUAGGCAUGAUGACAAGGUUAAUGAGUAAAUUUUCAAAGAGAAACUGCUACAGGGGCUCUCAGCCACAGUGGCAGCUGAAGUCAAAAUGAGGUUGCUUCACAUGCUUCACAGAGGCGAGUGGGCCUGACAUUGGGCUGUGGCCAGGCCGCCCUCAUGGUUAUGCAAUUACCCAGCCACACCCCCCUAAAGUGGGUGUAUGGCCUUGGGUGAUCAGCCUACUGGGAGGACACCAGUGCCAAUUAUAGCAGAGGUCACCUGAGUCUGACAAGGGCAGUGGCCAGUCUGAGUUUUGAGGAGUUGUAAGUGCACAGCAGGCUCCACUAUGCAGCGGCUGUUUGGGCCUCAAUAAACUGGUCACAUGCUGGAGCACGGUGCCUGAAAGGUUCAUGGAAGAUUAGGAAACGGGUGAUUCCAGGACCAAAGUCCCAGGGCAGAGGGAGGUCUAGUGCCUCACAGCAGACAGUCCUGUGUAUUACGACACGGCGGGCUCUUAUCCAGGGUGUAAAUAUUUUUUUCAUUCCCUUCCUACUUUUAAUCACUCCCCUCUGCACUUUCCACGUGUAUUGUGUACAUUGCGUGCAGUGAACACCAACUGAUGCUUCUGAAGAGACUCCACCUCCAAGCAUGCCUCAAGGAACUUUCUGGUGGUGUGAGGGGGAAUUGCUCAACCCCAGCUGGAUUUAGCUGGUCUGGAGUGGGGUCUGGGCAUCAGUAUAUUUUUCAAGCUCCCCAGUAAUUCUAAUAUGCAGCCAAGGAUGAGAAGCUCUGGGCUAAGCCUUACUUGACUCCCGCAUGAGGAAGUGAGGGAUGAAGGGAAGGGAACCACGGCACAGAUGUCAGGCAGGUCAUGGAAGGGAGGGAAGGAGAGGAUCCAGACAUGCCAAGCUGGCCAGUUUUCAGAAAUCACCCGCUGAUGCCUUUUAGACCUAAUGUUUCCCAGUCAUCCAUUCACUCACCAACACUGACAAGAGCUGCUUCCAGGGACAGAGAGCUGAAUGAGACCAGUGCCCGCCCUCAGGGAACACACAGUCUAGCAGGGUAGACGGACACAGAAUGUAAUUGCAUAAUGGAAGUUGGUCACGGACUUGGUAUGUACUUGAUUACUAAGUCCCCAAAAGUACUCCAAUCUGUGGGUGAGGGGCAAGCUUACCCCACUGUCAAGCAUGCUGGGAGGAGACAAAAGCUAAUCUAUCCAAGGAGUGCUUGGAAGAAGGGCCUGGGACAGGGGAAAAGCAAGAACCUCCUGGCCUUAUCUGGGCUUAUUCUCCAGAGUCUGUACUGCAAAAAGCCUGGGAAAUAGGGGGCACCAUUCAUGUCGUAUUUUCUUUUCUUUUUUCUUUUUCUUUUUUUUUUUUUGUUUGUUUUUUUGUCUUUUUGUCUUUUGUUGUUGUUGCUAUUUCUUGGGCCGCUCCCGCGGCAUAUGGAGGUUCCCAGGCUAGGGGUCGAAUCGGAG
rnacentral:lncRNA from 1 species